GUUCGGAUUUACUGGGCGUAAAGGGUGCGUAGGUGGCCAGGAAAGUUUGAUGUGAAAGCUCCGAGCUCAACUCGGAUAAUGCAUUGAAUACUACUUGGCUUGAGGAUCGGAGGGGAGACUGGAAUUCUCGGUGUAGCAGUGAAAUGCGUAGAUAUCGAGAGGAACACCAGUGGCGAAGGCGAGUCUCUGGACGAUUCCUGACACUGAGGCACGAAAGCUAGGGGAGCAAACAGGAUUAGAUACCCUGGUAGUCCACGCCGUAAACGAUGAGAACUAGCCGUUGGGGCCUUUAAGGCUUUGGUGGCGCAGCUAACGCGAUAAGUUCUCCGCCUGGGGAGUACGGCCGCAAGGUUAAAACUCAAAUGAAUUGACGGGGGCCCGCACAAGCGGUGGAGCAUGUUGUUUAAUUCGAUGCAACGCGAAGAACCUUACCACCCCUUGACAUACUCGGAACUUUCUAGAGAUAGAUUGGUGCCUUCGGGAACCGAGAUACAGGUGCUGCAUGGCU
rnacentral:rRNA from 1 species